rnacentral:rRNA from 1 species
UACGUAGGGUGCAAGCGUUGUCCGGAAUUAUUGGGCGUAAAGAGCUCGUAGGCGGUCCAUCACGUCGGGAGUGAAAAGCUGGGGCUUAACCCCAGUCCUGCUUCCGAUACGGGUGGACUAGAGGUAGGCAGGGGAGAACGGAAUUCCUGGUGUAGCGGUGAAAUGCGCAGAUAUCAGGAGGAACACCGGUGGCGAAGGCGGUUCUCUGGGCCUUACCUGACGCUGAGGAGCGAAAGCGUGGGGAGCAAACAGG